ACCUUCGGGUGUGUAUAAAGUGGCGAACGGCUGAGUAACACGUGGGCAACCUGCCCCUCUCAUUGGGAUAGCCACGGGAAACCGUGGAUAAUACCGAAUACUUCGGGACUUCCGCAUGGAAGACUCGAGAAAGCUCCGGCGGAGAGGGAUGGGCCCGCGGCCUGUUAGCUUGUUGGUGGGGUAACGGCCUACCAAGGCAAUGAUGGGUAGCUGGGUUGAGAGACCGACCAGCCAGAUUGGGACUGAGACACGGCCCAGACUCCUACGGGAGGCAGCAGUGGGGAAUCUUGCACAAUGGGCGAAAGCCUGAUGCAGCGACGCCGCGUGCGGGAUGAAGGCCUUCGGGUUGUAAACCGCUUUCAGCAGGGACGAGGCGAAAGUGACGGUACCUGCAGAAGAAGCCCCGGCUAACUACGUGCCAGCAGCCGCGGUAAUACGUAGGGGGCAAGCGUUAUCCGGAUUCAUUGGGCGUAAAGCGCUCGUAGGCGGUCUGUUAGGUCGGGAGUUAAAUCCGGGGGCUCAACCCCCGUUCGCUCCCGAUACCGGCAGACUUGAGUUUGGUAGGGGAAGGUGGAAUUCCUAGUGUAGCGGUGGAAUGCGCAGAUAUUAGGAAGAACACCAGUGGCGAAGGCGGCCUUCUGGGCCAUAACUGACGCUGAGGAGCGAAAGCUAGGGGAGCAAACAGGAUUAGAUACCCUGGUAGUCCUAGCCGUAAACGAUGGACACUAGGUGUGGGGGAAUAUUUCUUCCGUGCCGCAGCUAACGCAUUAAGUGUCCCGCUGGGAGUACGG
rnacentral:rRNA from 1 species